GUGGCGGACGGGUGAGUAACGCGUGAGAAUUUGCCUUUAGGAGGGGGAUAACUAGUGGAAACACUAGCUAAAACCCCAUAUGCCCACGGGUGAAAAAGAGGAAGAAGGGAUAACCAUAAAUCCUCUGCCUGAAGAGAAGCUCGCGUCUGAUUAGCUAGUUGGUAGGGUAAUGGCCUACCAAGGCGACGAUCAGUAGCUGGUCUGAGAGGACGAUCAGCCACACUGGAACUGAGACACGGUCCAGACUCCUACGGGAGGCAGCAGUGAGGAAUUUUCUGCAAUGGGCGAAAGCCUGACAGAGCAAUACCGCGUGAGGGAAGAAGGCUUACUGAGUUGUAAACCUCGGUGCCUUAAGGAAGAAGAUCUGACGGUACUUAAGGUGGAAAGCAUCGGCUAACCCCGUGCCAGCAGCCGCGGUAAGACGGGGGAUGCAAGUGUUAUCCGGAAUCACUGGGCGUAAAGCGUCUGCAGGUGGUUUCCUAAGUCCACUGUUAAACCUUGGGGCUCAACCUCAAAUCUGCAGUGGAAACUAGGGAACUUGAGGAUAGUAGGGGUAGAGGGAAUUUCCAGUGGAGCGGUGAAAUGCGUAGAUAUUGGAAAGAACACCGAUGGCGAAGGCACUCUACUGGGCUAUGACUGACACUCAGAGACGAAAGCUAGGGGAGCAAAUGGGAUUAGAUACCCCAGUAGUCCUA
rnacentral:rRNA from 1 species